CAGUCGCCGCGGGAAUACGUAGGGUGCAAGCGUUAAUCGGAGUUACUGGGCGUAAAGCGUGCGCAGGCGGUUAUAUAAGUCAGAUGUGAGAUCCCCGGGCUCAACCUGGGAACUGCAUUUGAGACUGUAUGGCUAGAGUGUGUCAGAGGGGGGUAGAAUUCACGUGUAGCAGUGAAAUGCGUAGAUAUGUGGAGGAAUACCGAUGGCGAAGGCAGCCCUCUGGGAUAACACUGACGCUCAUGCACGAAAGCGUGGGGAGCAAACAGGAUUAGAUACCCGAGUAGUCCCUGUCUCUUAUACC
rnacentral:rRNA from 1 species